UGGGGAAUAUUGGACAAUGGACCAAGAGUCUGAUCCAGCAAUUCUGUGUGCACGAUGAAGUUUUUCGGAAUGUAAAGUGCUUUCAGUUGGGAAGAAAAAAAUGACGGUACCAACAGAAGAAGUGACGGCUAAAUACGUGCCAGCAGCCGCGGUAAUACGUAUGUCACAAGCGUUACCCGGAUUUAUUGGGCGUAAAGUGCGUCUAGGUGGUUAUGUAAGUCUGAUGUGAAAAUGCAGGGCUCAACUCUGUAUUGCGUUGGAAACUGUAUAACUAGAGUACUGGAGAGGUAAGCGGAACUACAAGUGUAGAGGUGAAAUUCGUANAUAUUUGUAGGAAUGCCGAUGGGGAAGCCAGCUUACUGGACAGAUACUGACGCUGAAGCGCGAAAGCGUGGGUAGCAAACAGGAUUAGAUACCCUGGUAGUCCAUGCCGUAAACNAUGAUUACUAGGUGUUGGGGGUCGAANCUCAGCNCCCNAGCAAACGCGAUAAGUANUCCCGCCUGGGGAGUACGUACGCAAGU
rnacentral:rRNA from 1 species